rnacentral:rRNA from 1 species
GGGUUGUGAGGUUAAGCGACUAAGCGUACACGGUGGAUGCCCUGGCAGUCAGAGGCGAUGAAGGACGUGCUAAUCUGCGAUAAGCGUCGGUAAGGUGAUAUGAACCGUUAUAACCGGCGAUUUCCGAAUGGGGAAACCCAGUGUGUUUCGACACACUAUCAUUAACUGAAUCCAUAGGUUAAUGAGGCGAACCGGGGGAACUGAAACAUCUAAGUACCCCGAGGAAAAGAAAUCAACCGAGAUUCCCCCAGUAGCGGCGAGCGAACGGGGAGGAGCCCAGAGCCUGAAUCAGUGUGUGUGUUAGUGGAAGCGUCUGGAAAGGCGCGCGAUACAGGGUGACAGCCCCGUACACAAAAAUGCACAUAUUGUGAGCUCGAUGAGUAGGGCGGGACACGUGGUAUCCUGUCUGAAUAUGGGGGGACCAUCCUCCAAGGCUAAAUACUCCUGACUGACCGAUAGUGAACCAGUACCGUGAGGGAAAGGCGAAAAGAACCCCGGCGAGGGGAGUGAAAAAGAACCUGAAACCGUGUACGUACAAGCAGUGGGAGCCUCUUUUAUGGGGUGACUGCGUACCUUUUGUAUAAUGGGUCAGCGACUUAUAUUCUGUAGCAAGGUUAACCGAAUAGGGGAGCCGAAGGGAAACCGAGUCUUAACUGGGCGUUAAGUUGCAGGGUAUAGACCCGAAACCCGGUGAUCUAGCCAUGGGCAGGUUGAAGGUUGGGUAACACUAACUGGAGGACCGAACCGACUAAUGUUGAAAAAUUAGCGGAUGACUUGUGGCUGGGGGUGAAAGGCCAAUCAAACCGGGAGAUAGCUGGUUCUCCCCGAAAGCUAUUUAGGUAGCGCCUCGUGAAUUCAUCUCCGGGGGUAGAGCACUGUUUCGGCAAGGGGGUCAUCCCGACUUACCAACCCGAUGCAAACUGCGAAUACCGGAGAAUGUUAUCACGGGAGACACACGGCGGGUGCUAACGUCCGUCGUGAAGAGGGAAACAACCCAGACCGCCAGCUAAGGUCCCAAAGUCAUGGUUAAGUGGGAAACGAUGUGGGAAGGCCCAGACAGCCAGGAUGUUGGCUUAGAAGCAGCCAUCAUUUAAAGAAAGCGUAAUAGCUCACUGGUCGAGUCGGCCUGCGCGGAAGAUGUAACGGGGCUAAACCAUGCACCGAAGCUGCGGCAGCGACACUAUGUGUUGUUGGGUAGGGGAGCGUUCUGUAAGCCUGUGAAGGUGUGCUGUGAGGCAUGCUGGAGGUAUCAGAAGUGCGAAUGCUGACAUAAGUAACGAUAAAGCGGGUGAAAAGCCCGCUCGCCGGAAGACCAAGGGUUCCUGUCCAACGUUAAUCGGGGCAGGGUGAGUCGACCCCUAAGGCGAGGCCGAAAGGCGUAGUCGAUGGGAAACAGGUUAAUAUUCCUGUACUUGGUGUUACUGCGAAGGGGGGACGGAGAAGGCUAUGUUGGCCGGGCGACGGUUGUCCCGGUUUAAGCGUGUAGGCUGGUUUUCCAGGCAAAUCCGGAAAAUCAAGGCUGAGGCGUGAUGACGAGGCACUACGGUGCUGAAGCAACAAAUGCCCUGCUUCCAGGAAAAGCCUCUAAGCAUCAGGUAACAUCAAAUCGUACCCCAAACCGACACAGGUGGUCAGGUAGAGAAUACCAAGGCGCUUGAGAGAACUCGGGUGAAGGAACUAGGCAAAAUGGUGCCGUAACUUCGGGAGAAGGCACGCUGAUAUGUAGGUGAAGUCCCUCGCGGAUGGAGCUGAAAUCAGUCGAAGAUACCAGCUGGCUGCAACUGUUUAUUAAAAACACAGCACUGUGCAAACACGAAAGUGGACGUAUACGGUGUGACGCCUGCCCGGUGCCGGAAGGUUAAUUGAUGGGGUCAGCGCAAGCGAAGCUCUUGAUCGAAGCCCCGGUAAACGGCGGCCGUAACUAUAACGGUCCUAAGGUAGCGAAAUUCCUUGUCGGGUAAGUUCCGACCUGCACGAAUGGCGUAAUGAUGGCCAGGCUGUCUCCACCCGAGACUCAGUGAAAUUGAACUCGCUGUGAAGAUGCAGUGUACCCGCGGCAAGACGGAAAGACCCCGUGAACCUUUACUAUAGCUUGACACUGAACAUUGAGCCUUGAUGUGUAGGAUAGGUGGGAGGCUUAGAAGUGUGGACGCCAGUCUGCAUGGAGCCGACCUUGAAAUACCACCCUUUAAUGUUUGAUGUUCUAACGUUGACCCGUGAUCCGGGUUGCGGACAGUGUCUGGUGGGUAGUUUGACUGGGGCGGUCUCCUCCUAAAGAGUAACGGAGGAGCACGAAGGUUGGCUAAUCCUGGUCGGACAUCAGGAGGUUAGUGCAAUGGCAUAAGCCAGCUUGACUGCGAGCGUGACGGCGCGAGCAGGUGCGAAAGCAGGUCAUAGUGAUCCGGUGGUUCUGAAUGGAAGGGCCAUCGCUCAACGGAUAAAAGGUACUCCGGGGAUAACAGGCUGAUACCGCCCAAGAGUUCAUAUCGACGGCGGUGUUUGGCACCUCGAUGUCGGCUCAUCACAUCCUGGGGCUGAAGUAGGUCCCAAGGGUAUGGCUGUUCGCCAUUUAAAGUGGUACGCGAGCUGGGUUUAGAACGUCGUGAGACAGUUCGGUCCCUAUCUGCCGUGGGCGCUGGAGAACUGAGGGGGGCUGCUCCUAGUACGAGAGGACCGGAGUGGACGCAUCACUGGUGUUCGGGUUGUCAUGCCAAUGGCACUGCCCGGUAGCUAAAUGCGGAAGAGAUAAGUGCUGAAAGCAUCUAAGCACGAAACUUGCCCCGAGAUGAGUUCUCCCUGACCCUUUAAGGGUCCUGAAGGAACGUUGAAGACGACGACGUUGAUAGGCCGGGUGUGUAAGCGCAGCGAUGCGUUGAGCUAACCGGUACUAAUGAACCGUGAGGCUUAACCUUACAACGCCGAAGCUGUU